AUGUGCCUGAUUACAGCAUCGCUUAAAAGAAUCAUAUCUCCUGCUGUCAUCAAAGCAGCCAGAAGAGAAGAUUUCAGACGCUCUGACACAAACGGACAUAAGAAGUGUCUGCCGUGGUGGCCAAGCCACGCACCCACGCCAGUCCGCACACUACGCGUCUGUGCACCGGAUUGGCGUGCUGUGCCCCUACACACAGCGCGGUUAUCUGUCAAAAAAAAUCAACGUCAACGUGAGUUUCAAAAUACCAUGGAAGGACUGAGUGUGUUCUUCAGCACCAUGAUGAGAUUUUCACAGAGCGGGCGCGCAGGCUGGGCAUCUCACUCAAAAAAAUCUCCCUGGGCUCCUAAGACACAGGAGCCUGUGACUUGGGCCCUGGGCCGAGCUUUUCACCUGUGAGCAGCAGCAGGAGAGGAGAUCCCAGCUUCACACAGGAAACGGUCUGCACUGGACACGGCCAGCUGGUGACCUGACACCUGGGGCGUCAGCACGCACCCCCGGACCGCCCCUCCUGAGGAUACCCCGAGACCCAUAAUACGCCCCACUUGGGAUCACAAGUGCUGCGGGGGAGCCUGCUCUGCUUCUUUGAGCGCAUACUUUACUUCUCUGCCUAAGAAAACCCCUUGUGUCUCCUGCGGACGCAUCCGUGUCCUGAAUUUUUCUGUCAUGGGAAGCAGCAAUCCCGCAACCCCAUUCUCCAGGUAGGACGGCUUGAGAAACCUCCUAGGACCCUGCCCGGUGACAGCAGCCGCACGGGCCAGGUAGGGAAAGGGGACAGACAUGACAGGAGCUGAGACCCUGGGGUCCCCUGUGGUCUAAAGCCAGGUGAGGCCCAGGUGUCUUAGUACAACCGCGCUCGGGUUCAGGGGAAUUGGGAUUCUCCCCUGGGGCCCAGUCUCUCCCGCACCCAGGCAACGUCUUGCGCCCCUGUUUAUUGGGGGAAGAAAGCUGGGGAAGCCGGUGUCGCAGGACCACACCGCAGGCCCGCAGUUGGGCUGAGACCCUGGGAGCGGAGCUCCAGGGCUGGGGCUCUGGCUUUGAUGCGGCACCAGAGCUCACACCCCUUGCACACUUUGGUGGCCCAGGCAGGAACGAGAGUGAGACGGGAGGAGGCGCCGCUCACCUGGGCGAGCUCCCCUGUGCCCCCCCCGCACCCCGCAACAGCUGGCCGCAGGGGCAGACGCCUCUUCAGUGGCCUCCUCUGCCCUAACCCUGAAACCGCCACUGCCUGCCACUCCCGGAAGGGAAGCACUGCGGGCGCCAUAGAAACCGAGCGACUCUGGCGGGCUGUAGGGAAAGCGGCCCUGGAGGAGGCGGACAGAGGGGCCCGGAGGAAGGGUCAGCGUCAAGCUGCCGCCCUGUGAGUCCCCACUCUGUGAACCGUCAGCACUGGCAAAAGGCCCUGUGGCCCUCCCUUUACAGAGAGGGGAACUUGAGGCUUUGGAAAGCUAAGCAACCCUUCCAUGGUCUCCAUGCCUGAGUCUGCUGCGUCAGCCCUGGCUUUCCAUCUUCCUGAGGCUUUCGGCUUUCGAUACACCUAGACUCCAUGUCCUAAAGCUAGAAAUUCCAGCCCACCUUGCCCUCUCGUCUGCUUAACGCCCCCUCCUUCCCGGGUGCUGGCCCCACCACCAUAUCUAAAACAGCAGCUGAGGAACUCUGUCCUCUUUCUCUGCUUUAUUUUUUUUCCUUUGUAACUCUUCUCUCUGUUCUGGCAUGUUGCUAGACACCCAUUUUAUAUUAUCUAUCUCCCCACCAGAAUAUAAGUCCCAGGGGGGGUGUCUGUUGUCUUUUCCCUCAUCAGAAUAGGAGUCCUAGGUUGGUAAUACUCUUCCUGCAGGGUGUAGUGAGGGAGCUCCUUGUCCUCUGCUCGAGAUUGCGCUGGCCACCUUGUGCUUGUGUGCAGGGCAGUGUGGAUGGGGUCUGGUUCCCCCCUGCCCCAGACUGUGGGAUUUGUGUCCAGAUCCUCGGUGGUGGCCUGAGGCUGUGGACCAUCGUGAAGCUGCUCAUCACUGUUUUCUUAUAGAUAUACAUGAUAGGAGGGGAACAUCAACCACAAUGAAAUAGAAUAAUUAUAGCCAUGUAUUGUGAUAACAGUUAUUUAAAACUUAGGAAUUAUGUCUGGAAAUUUCCAUGGAAGAUUUCUGGGCCGUGGUUGGCAGUGGGUAACUAAAACCUCGGAAAGCGGGGCUGCUGGGAAGGUGAGGAGUCUCCCCAGUGUUUCCCCUCCUCCUGGUCCACCAGGAGCACUCAGGGCAGCACCCAUCCUGGUCUUUGCCCCACUCUGCCCAGCUCAGGGCCUGCCCUGAGCCCCAAGUUAUUUAAAUGAGCAAAUGCUAUCCUGGCACCCCCGCUAUGAGAGAAAAGGAUGCCUGUUCCACUUGUGAGUGAGUGUGUGUGUGUGUGUGUGUGUGUGUGAAUGCACCCCAUCCCAUACAUUUUUAAAGCAUCCCAAGGCUCUGUAGAAGUCAUCCAAGAUAAAUAGGACGCAGCCCUCCUCUCUAAGCAGCUCAUGAUGCAGUUAGAGAGAGAGGAUCCUCGGCUGGCCUCCGUGAGCAUCCGGGUUCCAGGCACGCCGUUUCCAGGAGUGACCUCGUCAGCCAUACUUGCUCCACGUGGACAGGCGUCAGACUCCGCACCCAGGCCCGGGGAGGCAUCUGGUAGCGUGGGUCGGCUUGGCCUGACUCAGAAUCCUCCAGGACCAGAUGGGACCUUCCAUACAGGAGAGAAAAUGAGCUCCUUACUGAGAGCACAGCAAGGGCCCAGGUGUCUGCCAGCGUCUGGCACACAGGGCAAGCCAGCCGGGGACAUGGCCACCCCUCCGGCUGGCCACUGCCCUGCCCGGUGCUACCCAACAGUGGUGGCCCUGGAGCCCAGCAGCCAGUGUCCCAAGUCCUGAGUCCUCACCCUAGAUGAGGACCAGACCCAGAGGGAGACAGCAGGCUGCUCCUCCCCUGGGGACAGUGACAAGCAGCUGCCCUUUGUUGCCCCUGGGCCAGCCGCUGUGUCCCACUGUGUCCCCACUUCUCAGAAUGCUUAGGACCGGCUGUUAUCAACCCGAGGGAGAGCAGAGACUGACGGGG
ensembl:lincRNA